rnacentral:rRNA from 1 species
GAACCUGGCUCAGGAUGAACGCUAGCUACAGGCUUAACACAUGCAAGUCGAGGGGCAGCAUCAUCAAAGCUUGCUUUGAUGGAUGGCGACCGGCGCACGGGUGAGUAACACGUAUCCAACCUGCCGACAACACUGGGAUAGCCUUUCGAAAGAAAGAUUAAUACCGGAUGGUAUAGUUUUCCCGCAUGGGGUGACUAUUAAAGAAUUUCGGUUGUCGAUGGGGAUGCGUUCCAUUAGGCAGUUGG